GAUGGCGAUAGCUGCUCGCUGGAUUCCACUGUAGCCAAAGGAUGCUGAUGAUGGUGUUGGUGGAAUAGGAGACCGACUAAUUGCUUCCUUACUAUAUACUUAGUUUUGUGAUCAUCUUUCUUUAACAUCGAUUACAUUUAAUUUACAAUCCUUGUAUAUUACAAUCUUGAAUAACUGCUGCCUUAUAUCCCUAUUCAUUAUUUUCCGAGUAAAAGAUGGAUAGAAACUUGUGUGCAGGUUGUUAGGGCAGCAGACAUUGAAUGUGACAAAGUGACACGACGCUGAAGAAAUCGUUGUAAUGGCAACAAUUAUUCUUGUGACGUUUCUCAUCGACGAAGAAGAUGAUUGGAGAUCGAUUAAACUUGUCAGACGUCCAUGUCAAUGUGCUGAUGCCAGCCGAC
rnacentral:lncRNA from 1 species